GAUGAACGCUGGCGGCGUGCCUAAUACAUGCAAGUCGAGCGAACGGACGAGAAGUUUGCUUCUCUGUUGUUAGCGGCGGACGUGUGUGUAACACGUGGAUAAUCUCCCUAUAAGACUGGGAUAACUUCGGGAAACCGGAGCUAAUACCGGAUAAUAUCUUGAACCGCAUGGUUCAAAAGUGAAAGUCGGUCUUGCUGUCACUUAUAGCUGGAUCCGCGCUGCAUUAGCUAGUUGGUAAGGUAACGGCUUACCAAGGCAACGAUGCAUAGCCGACCGGAGAGGGUGAUAGGCCGCACUGGAACUGAGACGCGGUCCAGACGCCUACGAGAGGCCGCAGAAGGCAAUCUGACGCAAAAGGCGAAAACCUGACAGAACAACGCGGCGUGAGUGAUGGAGGUCUUCGGAUCGUGAAACUCUGUUAUUAGGGAAAAACAUAUGUGUAAGUAGCUGUGGACAGCUUGACGGUAACUAAUCAGAAAGCCACGGCUAACUACGUG
rnacentral:rRNA from 1 species